GCGAUGAAGGUGGCCUCCAGACAAGCUCCAGCAUUGGGCGAAAGCUGUUGAUGAGGCUCUUCAGGGGGAUGAGACUGCCAGUGGUGCCGCGCACAGACUGGUCUGAAUAAAGAAUUUCAUAUCUCUUUGUUUCAUUAUCAUUAAAAGAAGACAUAAGUGAAAGGCUUUCAGUGGGAGUGGUAUAAUGAAGACAGAGAAAUGUGACAGAGGUGAAUAAAAGAGCACCCUGGAGAAAAAGAAGAAUCUAAGCUGUCAAGGAGGAGGGGAAGCCAUGGCCUACACACACAACAAAUUGACGAUUCCGCCACUUUCAUUACCUUUUAUUGCACUCACCUUCCAUUAUCCUCUUUCUUCUUACUAUUAUAGACUUAUUUUCUCCACCAUAAGACACUUCAGCUUUGGAUCAAGUAAAAUAUGGCCUUCAGUUCUUAUAAACACUAUCCUUAGUAUAACUACAAAUAAGCAUAAAUUAGUAGUAAGUAAAUGUAUAACUAAAUAAAUUCACAAAUAGACA